AGGUGUAUAGCUCAGUGGUAGAGCACAUGCUUGGUGUGCACGAGGUCCUGGGCUCAUUCCAGUGCCUCCA
rnacentral:tRNA from 1 species